UUUCCCAGCAAGGACAAUUAAUCAAAUCUUAAUAAUGUAUAUUGACUAUCCUGGGCAACUGCUCCUUCCACCUUAACGCAGGGUCAGAAUAGAGUUACACACUUAGAUACACCUUGAAACACUCACGCGCAGUCUGACGGAUUAACGCAUACACACACACACUCCACUGACACGAGAACACACACUCAUGCACACUCCACUGACACAAGC